CCACGGCCUGCUCAAAGCUGUGGCUGGCGUGGUCGGAAAGGAGCCCAAAUUGACCUGUUUCCUUGGUGUUCGCUGUGCAGUGACACUUCAGGAACAUACACUG
ensembl:snoRNA